CACCAUUUUCUUCCUUUUUUUUUUUUUUUCCUUCUUUGAUGGCAAGAGAUGUUAUUAAAAAUCAGACCACCCAUGAGAACUCCCAUAACAACCACACCAGCCUAUCAUUUUCCACCAGGCCUUAGCCCCUCACCAAAGCCAGAGUUCCAUCCUGUCACAUACACAGACACCUUCACUUCCUCACAAUUCAGAACACUCAACUCUCUCUCCUCCUCUCUCUCUCUCUCUUUCUCUCUCUCUCUCUCUCUCGUUGUAUGUGCCAAUGAAUAACUGAAAAAACCAGUUAUAAAACCUUAAAAAGAAAAGAAAAGAAAAGAGAAAACACCAUACCAUGUCAACAAAUUCUAUCAAUGGGGAAGCAGACACAGACCAAGAGUCUCUUAUAAUUCCUCUCCUGUCCCCUCGAAGAUCACUCAUUAACUCCACUUCUCAAGUUGCCAUCGUUGGAGCUAAUGUCUGCCCCAUUGAAAGUCUUGAUUAUGAGAUUGCUGAGAAUGAGUUCUUUAAACAAGAUUGGAGGAGUCGUGGAAAGAUGCAAAUAUUUCAGUAUGUGUUCAUGAAGUGGUCGCUUUGUUUCUUGAUCGGACUGAUUGUUAGCCUUAUUGGGUUUUUUAACAAUCUUGCUGUUGAAAAUAUUGCUGGCUUGAAGUUUGUGGUCACCUCCAAUAUGAUGCUGCCCAAAAGGUUUGGGAUGGCUUUUCUUGUGUUCUCAGUUUCUAAUUUGAUUCUUACCCUGUUUGCAUCCAUCAUCACGGCUUUUAUAGCACCAGCUGCUGCUGGUUCAGGUAUUCCAGAAGUUAAGGCUUACCUGAAUGGUGUGGAUGCACCUGGAAUUCUUUCCUUGCGAACUUUGGUUAUUAAGAUUAUUGGAAGCAUUUCUGCGGUGUCCUCGUCUCUUUUUGUUGGAAAGGCAGGGCCAAUGGUGCACACUGGAGCAUGUGUUGCAGCAUUGCUUGGUCAGGGUGGAUCCAAGAGAUUUAAAUUAACAUGGAGAUGGCUUCGUUUUUUCAAAAAUGACCGAGACCGAAGGGAUCUUGUAACAUGUGGAUCAGCUGCUGGAAUAGCUGCUGCCUUCCGUGCCCCAGUUGGAGGUGUGCUGUUUGCACUUGAAGAAAUGGCAUCUUGGUAUGUUUCUUACAUGAUAUUCUUCUGCAGGUGGAGAAGUGCCCUUCUUUGGAGAGCUUUCUUCACAACAGCAGUAGUUGCAAUAGUGCUUCGGGCUCUGAUUGACGUUUGUUUAAGUGAAAAAUGUGGGCUAUUUGGAAAAGGAGGGCUCAUAAUGUUUGAUGUGUAUUCAGCAAGUGUUACGUACCACCUCAUUGAUGUACCACCUGUGCUCACCCUUGGAGUUAUAGGAGGCAUAUUGGGAAGUUUGUAUAACUUCCUUCUAGACAAGGUUCUUCGAAUUUACAAUCUCAUCAAUGAGAAAGGCGUUGUUUACAAAAUUUUACUUGCUUGUGCAAUUUCCAUUUUCACAUCCUGUCUUCUUUUUGGACUACCAUGGCUUGCCUCUUGCCAACCCUGUCCGUCUGAUGCGUCGGAAGCUUGUCCAACAAUAGGCCGGUCUGGUAAUUUCAAGAAAUUUCAAUGUCCUCCUGGACAGUACAAUGAUCUGGCCAGCCUUAUAUUUAACACAAAUGAUGAUUCUGUUAAAAAUCUUUUCAGCCAGGACACCAACUCUGAGUUUCAAUAUUCGUCAAUUCUCAUAUUCUUUGUGACCUGCUUCUUUCUUAGUAUCUUUAGCUAUGGGAUUGUUGCCCCCGCGGGUUUAUUCAUACCAGUUAUCGUGACGGGUGCAUCUUAUGGACGUUUUGUUGGAAUGCUAGUUGGUUCACACUCAAAUCUUGAUCACGGCCUCUAUGCUGUCUUAGGUGCUGCUUCAUUUCUAGGCGGAUCUAUGAGGAUGACAGUUUCUCUGUGUGUCAUUAUUCUAGAAUUGACAAAUAAUCUGUUGCUGCUACCCUUGAUAAUGCUUGUUCUUCUUAUUUCCAAGACUGUGGCUGAUGCUUUCAAUGGUAAUAUUUAUGACCUUAUCAUGAAUGCAAAGGGUUUUCCUUACCUAGAAGCUCACACCGAGCCUUAUAUGAGGCAGUUGACAGUUGGUGAAGUAGUUAGGGGUCCACUUCAGAUCUUUCAGGGCAUUGAAAAGGUUGGCAAAAUAGUACAUGUUCUAAGAACUACGAGUCAUAAUGGAUUUCCCGUAAUUGAUGAGCCUCCGCUUUCUGAGUCUCCAGUUCUUUAUGGUCUAAUCCUCCGUGCUCAUCUAAUUGAAUUGCUAAAGAAGAAAGCUUUUGUGCCAACUCCAGUGCCAACAGGCACUGAUGCCUUCAAGCUGUUCUUUGCUGGUGAUUUUGCAAAGAGGGGCUCAGGCAAUGGAGACAAGAUAGAGGAUCUGCAAUUUACCGAAGAAGAGAUGGAGAUGUUUUUAGAUUUACAUCCAUUUACGAAUGCUUCACCUUAUACUGUUGCGGAGACAAUGUCACUGGCUAAGGCUCUCAUACUUUUCCGAGAAGUUGGUUUGAGGCAUUUACUGGUGAUACCCAAGAUAUCUGGUAGGUCCCCUGUUGUGGGUAUAUUGACUAGGCACGAUUUCAUGCCAGAGCAUAUACUUGGUCUGCAUCCUAUGCUGAUUAGAAGCAGGUGGAAAAGAUUAAGAAUCCAGGCACCUCGUUUAUUCAAACUCUUCUAGAGCGUUGGAGUCAAGCAGACGGAGCUCGCCCUUGAAAAUGAUAUUUGUUCCUUCUCUUAUUUGAGCUCCACAAUAUGUUUUCAAGAAAACACAAGGAAGGAGGACCAAAAGUUGAAAUUGAAGCCAGAAGCUAGUCAUCAUUCACCAGGCAGGCUAAAAAUCUAUCUGAAUAUCAGAGAUACUGUAUAGUUAGGGCAACGGAUGAUUAGGGAGAGAGAUUAUUCAUGUGAAAGUUCACCAUUAAUUUAUAGUUCUCUCUCACUAAACUCCCAGGACUCUCACUCAGCUUGCCACUACAAGCUGUUGCCAAGACAGCUCUCUACCUCUCUAUUCUUUCUACAA